UAACACGUGAGUAACCUGCCCUUGACUUCGGGAUAACUCCGGGAAACCGGGGCUAAUACCGGAUAUGAGCCGCCUUCGCAUGGGGGUGGUUGGAAAGUUUUUCGGUCAGGGAUGGGCUCGCGGCCUAUCAGCUUGUUGGUGGGGUGAUGGCCUACCAAGGCGACGACGGGUAGCCGGCCUGAGAGGGCGACCGGCCACACUGGGACUGAGACACGGCCCAGACUCCUACGGGAGGCAGCAGUGGGGAAUAUUGCACAAUGGGCGAAAGCCUGAUGCAGCGACGCCGCGUGAGGGAUGAAGGCCUUCGGGUUGUAAACCUCUUUCAGCAGGGAAGAAGCGCAAGUGACGGUACCUGCAGAAGAAGCGCCGGCUAACUACGUGCCAGCAGCCGCGGUAAUACGUAGGGCGCAAGCGUUGUCCGGAAUUAUUGGGCGUAAAGAGCUCGUAGGCGGUUUGUCGCGUCUGGUGUGAAAACUCGAG
rnacentral:rRNA from 1 species